rnacentral:rRNA from 1 species
GAUGAACGCUAGCGGCAGGCCUAAUACAUGCAAGUCGAACGGUGUCUUCGGACAUAGUGGCGCACGGGUGCGUAACACGUAUGCAACCUACCUUACAUUGGGGGAUAGCCUUUCGAAAGGGAGAUUAAUACCGCAUAAGACAGUAGCUGGGCAUCCAGCAGCUGUUAAAGAUUUAUCGAUGUAAGCUGGGCAUGCGUCCAAUUAGCUAGUUGGUGAGGUAACGGCUAACCAAGGCAAUGAUUGGUAGGGGAACUGAGAGGUCAAUCCCCCACACUGGCACUGGGAUACGGGCCAGACUCCUACGGGAGGCAGCAGUAGGGAAUAUUGGGCAAUGGACGCAAGUCUGACCCAGCCAUGCCGCGUGCAGGAUGAAGGCGUUAUGCGUUGUAAACUGCUUUUAUACAGGAAGAAACGACUCUUGCGAGAGGCAUUGACGGUACUGUAUGAAUAAGCACCGGCUAACUCCGUGCCAGCAGCCGCAGUAACAC